UCAUGAUCUCCACCAUCGUUUUUGAAAAGAAAACUGUCCUGCAAAGCCGGCGAAUGCCUGCCAUACCCACCUUUUAGUCCACAAACCCAUUUCUCUCUCUCUCUCUCUCAUCUCCAUUUUCUCUGGUUUCAUAAUCUUCCUUUGAUUUUCCUUUAAUUUAGGGUGGAUUUCUGAUAAAAUUAACGCAUAUGAUGGUUGAUUUUCGUAUGAUUUAGGGUGGAUUGCUGAUGGUUUGGUGGGGUUAUUGAUGUCGAAUGUGCCUCUAGGGUUUGGAUUUGCUAUGAAAUAGAACCAGGAUUGUAGAAAGAUGAAUCUGAAUGAGCUUAUGUUAUUAAGCAAGCGGUAAUGGAGGAUCUUUAAGGAAUCAAGGGAGUUUUCAUCUCGGUACCAGGCUGAUUCUUUUCUCUAUUUGGAGAACGAUGACCACGAUGCUGGCCAAAAACACACACACACAAGAGACACAAAAAAUGGAUCUGUCACAGAAGAGUUCUGCGUUAUCAGUAGUGCUUGCAGAAAAUUGUUUUUGACCCGUUCAUUCAGAGGGAUAAGGCAAGGAUGAAUUAGUUGGUUGAUGCGGCUUGUCUUUCUUUAGCUUCAAAAGUUAAAGAGAUCUAAGCCCUUUUCUAUUGGUGAAAGUGGUGGAGUCCAAGGUGAUGGUUUAGUUGCUAGCCUUGCACCACCCGAGACGGAGGGGUGGAGAAAGAAUGCUCAAGAAAAAGUGCUUCAAAUAGUAUUUAAGGUUGGAAGGGAUGGAAUUGAAGCGGGAACAAGUUUAGUGUCAGAUUCUAUUCCAAGACCAAUUGCUCGGGUAUCUGCGGCUGUAGUUGUGGUCACAGUUGCACUCUUUCUCCUCAAGUCAUUCUUAUCCACAACUUCCUUUUUUCGGAUAACUUAUGAAUGUGUUGACUUAAGUCAAUUUUUUUCGAACGGGCAACAAUGGGCCUAAUAUACUCGACGUUUAUCGCGUUAAAUAAGGAUGAAGGCCCCACAGAGGUGGUGGCAGCAACACCAAGACUUCCAGCAGCACCACGACCACCGCCUCAUCCGAUGAGGAGACCCUUGAAGAAGAUAAAAGAAUUAUGGAAAAGUAAAAAUAACUGAAUCAAUAGUCACUAGCUUUAAACAACCAUGCUUUUAAAAGGGGAAAUCUAUUGGCACACCAGCCAAACUAUCCGCACACUUUGCUUUUUCAAUACAACCCGUAUAGGUCUAUACGACCCGUAUUGAAGGUGUUGAUUUAAGGAUUCAGGUGUGACAAUAAUACGACCCUUUUAAAAUGCUUUAAAUGUAAAUAACUUUUGUAAGUCCAUGAACCCAUUUGUGUAUUGAGUUUACAUAUUCAUGUUUUCAAGAAAGGAUUAAAGGAAAUGGGUAUUAUCCUAGAUUUUAUUAAUAGAUUGGAUUAAUAACAACAUUUCAACAAAAUUUGUUAAAA